CAUUAAGGAGCUCGCAGUAACUGUACGGCCUUUAAGUACGAUUGUGCGAGUCAUUUCAGAUCCGUGGAUUCUGCCUCACUCUUUCUCAGGUCUCAUUUUUGUGGCCAUUUGAAACCAAAAAAAGGAAAUCACAGGCCAAAGUAUCAGAGCUAAUCCCUCUAAUCAAGCUAACCCUCAGUCUCCUUUUUCCCCAGAUCUCAGAUCUUGAUAUAUCCAUAGGUCUCUUUUACUCAGAUCCGCACCUCGGCUUCAGGGACAAACUGUAUCACUCUAAGUUUAAUGGAGAGGUGCUUUUGAUCUGUGCUUCUAACGAGGAGAUCUGGUUAGAUUUUGAAUCUGUAGAGUUUUUGUGGUUUAAUCUUCAUAAACUGGCCUUGAAUCUAUAUAGGGUUUUGAUUGUUUGGUUUAUGCUUGAUUUGGAUUUAUCAUGGGAAAGAUCUAGAAGCUAGAGUGAGAUUUUGCUACAGAAUCUAACCUGAAGGUGUGAUUUUUAUUUGCUCUGGUGAGAUUUUACCUGAGGAUUUGCCUUACUCGAAAGUACUAUGGAGACGCUUGUUGUUGUGGCCCAGCACAGGAAUCAGUACUAUACCAGAGUCAAGUCAUGUAAGCAAGCUCGAUUCGGGUCUUCCCCUCCUCCGCACUUUAGAGAGAUCAAUUGCCGGACUUUCCAAUCUGGGUCAGGUAUACUGCCAACCCCUUUCGAUACUUGCACCGCUCCUGUGAACAAAGUCACUCUUUCUGCACCUACUUCCUCCUCUCAGAAAACACCAUCACAAUCUAUCAAGCCCCCCUCGAAUUCUCAUCCUGUUGACAAUACAGAAUAUAAGACCGCUCCAAAAAGCUCUCCAAUUCCGAUAGUUAUCCCUACGAGGGAGACGACUUAUGAUGAGCUGGGUAUCUCAAACGAUAAUUCACCAUUUUCCGAGCUCUGGGCUGGACCUGCUUACUCAAAUUCGCCGCCGCCUAGUUCCCUUCCAAUUCCCAAGUUUUCAAUGAGGCCAAAACGAACCGUGUCACUUGAGUUGCCCGUCUGUGAUUCUGGUAUCAAAAUGCAUCCGAUUGCAAAGUCUGCCCCUGCUUCCCCCACAAGGGAACAUAGCCCACUUACAAAAGACCUUUUUCUAAGUGUUGACUCUGCGACUAAGACUCUGCGUCGCAUUCUUAAUCUUGAUGUGGCGGAUGAUUGAGGUUUAGGGGGCUUCUACUCCUGUAAAUAGUUUUAGUUUUAGACUGUAUAUAGAGGGAAUAAAUUGUUAGUAGUGUGUAUCUGCUGAAAUUUGUCUAGCUUUAGCUUUUGCUUAUGGUGGUGGUGGUGGUGGUGGUGGAAGUGGAAGAAGUGAUGGUUGUGGCUUUUAUGGGUCUAUAAUCUUCACAUCCGGGAUUGAGAAAUUCUGGAUUAAUGUUUCAGUGAUGGGUAUUUCUUAGCAAGUCAAUCAAAAUACAUGCGGUUAAGAUUGGGGUGCUUGUAGCUUGGGAAACGUGACAUGGAUGGGACCUGACUCUAAUACCUUUAGGAAGCAGAAGUGGACCAUGAAUUGGGUGACUUCUUUAGCAAUUGGAUGGAACAACUUACUCCUCUGUCCUAUUGCCUUUAAAAGGAAACUACAUCUUUGUUAUGAUGUCUAGUCCUUUAUAUAUUCUCCUCCUAUAAAUUUUAGUUACCGUGCAAAAUUUAGGCCUAUAGUAUUAGGUACAGUGUGCAUACUGUUAAAUCUUGGUUAGAUUAGUCUCACUCCAAUUCUGUAGGUUAACGUCUUGCUUUUGUAAUUUCAUCUUUAUUUCAUCUAAGUCAUCUUUUUUCUUCGAUUUCUAAUGUACGGCAUUGAUUAGGGUGGUAGCUUCCUAGUUUAGUUUUGCUUUAUUUUCACCUUUAAACUGUCUUUUCUCUUGUAACUGCCUUACUCGGUUCUUUGUUGCCUGAAUUGGCUUCUCAACAAUCAACACCUCUUCAUAUAUAUACCAUCUCUUUCUUUGUUUCUUUUAGAUAUGUCUAACUCCCCCGUGUACGGUCUACAUGGGUGUUGUUUCCUCCUUGCCAUCUUUUCUGUUUUUUAAGAGGGGAAGUGGCAAGUGAAAGUGAAAGUAGUUACUGCAUUUGCUUCUUGGGUUUGUAAUUGUAAGGUCAAUCCAAUCCGCGUUGCUUCUUUGAGUUGUAAGCCAUUAGUUUCUCGUUCUUUUGAGUGGAUAACAGGGCGUCCUCCUAGUCUUCAUAGAGCUUGUCUUUGUUGGAGAUUGUUGACCAUACCAUGCUAUUUGUGAGGCCACGGUUGGGGAAGAUUUCAGGAGGCUGCUUUUAUAUUAGAUGUGCGUUAUAGCGUAAUAGUUUCUUAAAAGCUAGUUUUAUUGUAAUCCAUAUGCAGUUUGUCUAGUCGCUUGUGUCCGAGAAAUACAUUCUAAUAUCUAUCUUGCCGUUUUGUAUCGAGUACGAGUCUUUUAAUCAGUCUGGUUGGCUUCUGAUAUUGGAUGAUGAUGUGUUUUACAGUUUCAUUUUAUGUCAGGACUGCAAUUCUAGUUUAA